UAACUGUGUGUGUAUAUGUGGCACUAUGUUAAAGACAGAGACAUGAAAAUAGUAGCCCCCCAUUUUAUUUUAUGCUCAGAGACACUUUCGUUUAGUAGGCCACUGUAAUGUCAGUUUUACUGUUGUAUAAGUUCCACCAGCAGAGGGCGCUCAGUCCUGUACGCAUCGGUAGCUGACGCUACACUAGAAGAAGUAGUGUCAGUGGUGAAGAGGCAGCGUACGGCCCGCGCGCCGAAAGAACUGAUUAAUCAGACAUUUUUCUGUCUUUACAGACGGAGCCACCAGAUCCUGACGUCGUGAGUACCUGCACUGCAACCACCGUUUCUAGCGAAGCGAGGAAAAGCCCAGAGUCGUACAUUCGCCUACUGGCCAGUGUCUUAUACAGGUCCACGACGCCAGGUUCUCGGUGACGCUGGGAAAAAGAACACAGCGCAACAUUGAAGGCUGCUUUGCCGGCCCUGAAAGCCGAGGCUGACCUGGACUCCUGCUCUCCCCUCUACCACCUUCGACGUGACCCUGACCAAAUGCUGCAGCAGCUGGACUUACAAAAACAAUUUCCUGAAAAUGUCAACAGGGCUGCAGAAAAGCGAUCUUAUGCAGCGGAGACGGAGAGCGUUAAAACCAAGGCCCGUUUCACUACACGGGGGAAAAUUCUCAGACAGCUUCAGCUGACAGAGCUGUGACGAGACGCCUGCCAAGCCGAAUGACAAGUAAGGCCGAGCAAAAGAAUGCUGACCUUAACAAUUCUGCAUUAACAGUGAUGGACCAACACGGCAGCAAAAAGGGCGUGCCAGAGACAGGAGGAGCAACUGAGGUCGAAUGGACAAAACACAGAAGAAGAUGCAGUUUUCACCUGCGGUGAGCAUGGACACUGGAGAAAAGGACUGUCCCAAUUGGGGUCAGAACCAGGACAAACUGAACUUUGAACAGCAGCAAUGGUGGCAAGCGGACUGAAAAGGAGGAGGGCAGGACCCCAGGGCACGCUUCAGGCUGUGGUUUACCCAAGACACCAGAACAGGAAAGUGAUGAACACACACACAUCUAUAUACACCGAUUCAGAAUGAAGUGAAAUAUACACAUGAACACAUGUGCACUCGUUGAUAGAGGGAGAAAUGGCACACACACACGCUUAUGCAAUGAAGAAUGCUUUGCUCGCAAAUGCUUAUGCUCAUGCAAAAUGCUGCACACAAACAUCCCAAUACAUAAUUUUUAUGAGAAGCAAUUGACUGCUUAAAAUGUGUUUUAUGUCACCCAGAGGAUAUUUAUGUAGAUUUAAGUAACAAGGUCUAAAAUUGUCCGGUUAUGAAAACAAUGUCUGUGCGUGAGGUCUGUUUAUGGCUCAAGGUCUUGAUUGAAUUGUCUAUUGUGCUACACACUUCGUAAAUGAAGUAAUAUCAAAAGUCUCUGAAGCACUGGGCUUCAGUAUAAAACAUCACUUCUCAUAUCACCCGCAGAGUACCCAUUACAAGUGAACCGAUAGACAAAUCCAUAAGAGAAACAAAACUAGCAGAAUGGAUGACAAAACUGUUAGAAAACAAAGAAAUAGUUUUGAACAAUCAACUGCCAGAUGAUUCUCUUCCAGUCUCUUCCAGGUUGAAACCAGGAGAUUGGAUCCUGAUAAAAGUGCUCCAGAGGGAAAAGUGGAGCUCCCCGAGGUGGGAAGGACCCUACCAAGUCCUCCUGGCCACACCAACAGCCUGCAAAAUUGCUGAACGACCUUCCUGGAUUCAUCAGAGCCACUGUAAAAAAGUGAGUGACAGCCCAUAGACACUAAGACGCCAGCACCCCUGCCUGUCAGUGACCUGGGAGGUGGAGAGAGGGCUGUUUGGGUAAAUCCCGCCCUUGUUCUUCUCGCCCCUAGUCUACUCUAGAGAUGGCACGAUACCACUUUUUUAUGUCCGAUACCGAUACCGAUAUCAUAAAUUUGGAUAUCUGCCGAUACCGAUAUUAAUCCGAUAUAGUGUGUUUUUUAAUCAAUAAAACUGUUUUUUUAA